UGCAUCACAUCAUCACAGUGUGUCUGAACUCAAUGCCGUACUUGACGGUGAAGAGCAGCAAAGAAGACCCCCGUUAAGUACGUUCUCGAGCACAUUUCUACUUUCGGUUUGUGUUGUGCUAUGUCGUCCAAGAGAAAAUAAUGGCGGUAGGAGAGACGAUGAGUGAAAAAGAGAGAGAGAGAGAGAGAGAGGGGCCCUAGCAAGCUAGGGGACACUAUGUUGUGUCGUCGUCGUCGUCGUCGAAACCCGUAAACGGAAAGAAACGGUUUAUCGGUAGUACCAAAUAAAGAAACCUUUAGCGAUUCCUUUCACUGGUGCCGCGCGGAAUUCGGCCGAAGAAUCGAACGAAAAUAAAAAGAAGAAUAAAGGAAGAAAGGAAGGAAGACAAGAAGGAAGGAAGUCAUCGAGAUCAACUGAAACCAUGAGAAGAAAGAACUCGGCCGAGCAAGUCUAGGGAAUUCGAUUGCAAACGAAUGAUAAGAAACUACUUUUAGUAGAUAAAAUAUUAAAAAAUAUUGACAUGAUAAGAAAAUAAGAAGGAGGACACAGAGUGACAAUAAUUUGCUAAACGUUUCAAUUUUUCUUUCGUUUAUUAUUUUAUAUCGAACGAAAAAUAAUUCAUAAGAUGAUAUUUGAUAAGAAUGAUAGAAAUAGCAAACAUAUGAAAUAACUCCAAUCUCAUAUAUAACAUCAUCUAUGAGAAAUCAAGGAAUAAGAUUUUAUUCAAGAAAUACGAUAUGUAUCAAAUUUGUAUGAUUUGUUCUUAUUUUCUUCUUUUACUUUUAACGAUCACUUAAAUACGAUCUGUAUGAACAACUCGAGGACCACUCAAGGUAGCUUUAAAACAUGGCUAAAAUAACAUGGUGUUCCUUUAAUGUCUUAUUCGUCGAGCCACUUCACAACCUUUCAACGAGCAUAUCUCAGUGAACGGGACGUGUGGAAGGAAGAAACAAGCGUCGUGUGCAGGGUGGUGGUGGUGGUGGUGUUGGUGGUGUUCAAGCCAUUUACGAUUCUUCGGCGAAUUUUACGAUCGGCCGAUUGGAUUCAAGCCAAGAAAUUGAGAAAACCAAACGGCAGCUGAUCUCUCUCGCAUCGUCGUAAAAGCUCUUUUCCUUUCCACCAUGUAUGCAUGCAUGCAUGCAUCCACGUUGCGGCCUUUAUUGUUCUUUUGAAAACGUGUAACACACGUGCGAGCACGCGCACGCGUACAAACAACACCCAUGAAGAUACUUCCUAUCGU